UUUUUUUUUUUUUUUUGUAUUUUAGGGUUUUAAAGGUUUAAGGCAUAGGGUUUUAGGUUUGGGAUUUAGGGUUUAGGGCUUAGGUUUUUUUUUAUGUUUAAGGAUCUAUAUUAAGGGUUUUUCUAUGAUUUUAGGGUAUAGGGUUUUGGGUUUUUUAGGUUAAGGGUUUUUUCUAGGGUUUUCUGGAUUUUAUUGUUUUAGGGUUUAGGGCUUAGGUUUUUUUUUGUGUUUUUAGGGUUUAGCAUAUACGAUUUAGCGGUUUUUAGGGAUUACAACUUUGAAUUUUUUUAGGUUUAUGGUUUUUUAAGGGUUAAGUGUUUGAUAGGGUUUUUUAGGGUUUAGGUUUUUGAACUUAAGGUUUUUUUGUGCUUUUUAGGUCUAGGGUUUACGGAUUUUUAGUAUUCAGUGUUUAGAGCGUGAUGUUUUGUAUGGGUUUUAAAUGGUUUUAGGAUUGAUAGGAUUUAGAGUUUCUU
rnacentral:lncRNA from 1 species